rnacentral:rRNA from 1 species
GACGUAGGGGGCGAGCGUUGUCCGGAUUCAUUGGGCGUAAAGCGCGCGUAGGCGGCUGCGCAAGUCGGUUGUGAAAUUCCGGGGCUCAACCCCGGAACUGCGUCCGAUACUGCGUGGCUAGAGGUAGGUAGGGGAGAUCGGAAUUCCUGGUGUAGCGGUGAAAUGCGUAGAUAUCGGGAGGAACACCUGUGGCGAAGGCGGCCACCUGGUUGGAUACUGACGCUGAGACGCGAAAGCGUGGGGAGCAAACAGG